rnacentral:rRNA from 1 species
CAACUUUUAGCGACAGGGAUCUCAUGGGGUCCUCCCAUCGACGAAUAACUCAACACAAUGUGAUCGACUAGGUGUAACUGAAUGUGCAGAACUUGCCAGUGAAUCAAUCGACUCUUUGAACGCACCUUCGCGCCCUCUGGGGUAUUCCGGAGGGCAUGACCUGUUUGAGUGUCAAUUCA